GGAGGCGGGCAGCGCCUGGUGGCGCUCGCGGUCUUCAAAACCGUUGUGGAACCGGCAAGGUCCCAGGUGGGUUCGAUUCCCAUGCGCCUCCGCCA
rnacentral:tRNA from 1 species